GACGAACGCUGGCGGCGUGCCUAAUACAUGCAAGUCGAACGCAGUGGGGACGGGUGAGUAACACGUGGGUAACCUCCCAUCAGAGGGGAUAACACUUGGAAACAGGUGCUAAACCGAUACUUAUAGAUGGAUCCGCGCUGCAUUAGCUAGUUGGUAAGGGAACGGCUUACCAAGGCAACGAUGCAUAGCCGACCUGAGAGGGUGAUCGGCCACACUGGAACUGAGACACGGUCCAGACUCCUACGGGAGGCAGCAGUAGGGAAUAUUGCACAAUGGGCGCAAGCCUGAUGCAGCCAUGCCGCGUGUAUGAAGAAGGCCUUAGGGUUGUAAAGUACUUUCAGCGGGGAGGCGUUACCCGCAGAAGAAGCACCGGCUAACUCCGUGCCAGCAGCCGCGGUAAUUC
rnacentral:rRNA from 1 species